rnacentral:lncRNA from 1 species
UGGAAGGUAGCUGGUCCGGCGGCUCCGAGAAACCGCUUGCUUGCCUUUUAGAGAUUCGCUUUCCAGCUCCAGGACAGGGAAAGGACUAGCGUUUCCCACCGCUCCUGCCUUCCCCUGAGCCACCGUGCCCCGAGAAAUGCCGAUGCGGAACUCGCCAGCCAGGGUCGAGCUGGCGCCGGCCUCCUCGGGAGCGACCUCAGCCUGCUCCAUCCAUCCCCUCGGGCUGCCUGGGCCCCCAGCAGCACCUCCCAGAGGCGGCCGCGGAGGUCGGGCUCCCUCUGGGCCGCAGCAGGUGAAUGGCAAGCGCCGGCGUCUCCCUCCCACACCCCAGCGUCGGUCUCGCCUCCUCCAGCAGCAGCAGUAGAGGGUCACCUCUGCGCGGCUGAGCUGAGCCGAGCCGCGCCGCGCAGCCUGCUGGCCGCAGGGCUCCCCGAGAGGCGGCUGGAAGCUACUCUCGUUACCUGCGGGGCCACCGCCCGCUUGCGGUGACAUUGGGAGGGGACUCCUGAGGGCGGCGCCGGGGCAGGAGCGCCCGUAGCCAGAGCCAGUAGCACCUCUCCCUGGCGGCGGGGAGCAGGGCGGGGAGCGGAGCGGCGGGCGGGCUCGACUCCGGCUGCUCAGCUCUUCAUUUCCUCUCGCCGUCCGUCGCGCUAUUGGAGGCUCCAGACUAUAAAUAGCAGCUCGCGCGCCACCGAGCGCCUCCCGUACACAGAAGGGGAAGGUGCCGCGUCGGCCGCCCCGCCGCCGGACAGGCCUACUAGCAGCUCCCACAGAUAGGCCGUUCCACAAUCCUUCUCACAGGCUCCAGCUGAUGGAACUGCUACAUCUGAGGGACUCCAACCACCAUCUGAUUUCGGUGUCCCCCAAGGGUUCAGGUACCUGGAGCCGGCUGCGAUCCUCAGCCCGAGACCCCAAGCGGGACGCCAUGAACAUCCUAUGCAUCCUUGUCCUGUGGUGCCUCACCGUCCCCAGCUACUCCUGGAAAAAGGAGACUGGGGACUGGUUCAGUGACUUGUUUGGCACCUGGGGCAUCUCGGGUUGGGUUUAUUCUAUUAUCCGGUCUGGAUUGUUAAUUUUGUUUAUCCUUGUUCUAGCCCCCGUUAUGUUCGGAAUUCUGAGGCGGGUGGUGUCCAACCUCAUUGAAAAGGCACUAAACAUCCAUACGGUGAACCCGGCUGUCAUCGUCUCUGCCCAGGAGUCAGAUGACGAAGAAGAAGAGCAGGAGGAAGAAGAACUAGAAGACCAGAAGACCGACCCUGGGCAGAGACAGCUCCCACCUGUCAGCCGUGGUUCGGGGACACCUACCCGAACUCAGAAUUCCUCCCCCGGACCGAGUUUAAUUCCUUUUGAUAAGAGACUUUUGUUUCAUUCAGUUUUGUUUAAUAUACAAAAGGGGGAGUUGUUGUGGUGUAUUUUAAGUUUCCCUCUAUUAUGGUUUCUCCCACUCCCCCUAUAUGGGUCCUAUGGUCUGUCCCUCCUUCCCCUCCUUCCCCUCCUACCUGUCAAUCACCCAGGUUAUGUAACCCUCAACGGUCACCCCUCACCCCAGGGCCUGUCUGUCAUCUGAGGCCUCUCCCCUCCAUCCAGAAGCUUCCACCAGAGGCCUCAGGUGAUAGGCUGGUCCCUGGGGGCUCCUCCCUCCUCCUCUCCCUAUUGGAUGUUCCCCAUGAUUGACACCGCAGCUACCACUCCCUCCUUGUACCCCUUUGGUCCAUUGUUGUUCCCUCCCCUGGUUACUGCCCCAGUAUAAAAAGGCGCGCACACCAGUGCUCCCCGCCUUUUGGGGCAGAUUCUUCUUUGGCGCUGUUGUACCCCGCGCGGAGCUACAAUAAAACCGGACUGCAGUCUGCCUCA